UAGUGGCGGACGGGUGAGUAACGCGUGGGAAUCUGCCCUCAGGAGGGGGAUAACGGUUGGAAACGACCGCUAAUACCCCAUAUGCCGAGAGGUGAAACGAAAUUCGCCUGAGGAUGAGCCCGCGUCUGAUUAGCUAGUUGGUGGGGUAAAGGCCUACCAAGGCAUCGAUCAGUAGCUGGUCUGAGUGGAUGAUCAGCCACACUGGGACUGAGACACGGCCCAGACUCCUACGGGAGGCAGCAGUGGGGAAUUUUCCGCAAUGGGCGCAAGCCUGACGGAGCAACGCCGCGUGAGGGAUGAAGGCCUCUGGGCUGUAAACCUCUUUUCUCAAGGAAGAAGAACUGACGGUACUUGAGGAAUAAGCCACGGCUAA
rnacentral:rRNA from 1 species